rnacentral:rRNA from 1 species
AAACUUAAAGGAAUUGACGGGGCCGCACAAGCGGUGGAGCAUGUGGUUUAAUUCGACGCAACGCGAAGAACCUUACCAGGUCUUGACAUCCCGAUGCUAUUUCUAGAGGUAGAAAGUUACUUCGGUACAUCGGUGACAGGUGGUGCAUGGUUGUCGUCAGCUCGUGUCGUGAGAUGUUGGGUUAAGUCCCGCAACGAGCGCAACCCCUAUUGUUAGUUGCCAUCAUUCAGUUGGGCACUCUAGCGAGACUGCCGGUAAUAAACCGGAGGAAGGUGGGGAUGACGUCAAAUCAUCAUGCCCCUUAUGACCUGGGCUACACACGUGCUACAAUGGUUGGUACAACGAGUUGCGAGUCGGUGACGGCGAGCUAAUCUCUUAAAGCCAAUCUCAGUUCGGAUUGUAGGCUGCAACUCGCCUACAUGAAGUCGGAAUCGCUAGUAAUCGCGGAUCAGCACGCCGCGGUGAAUACGUUCCCGGGCCUU